ACAUCAAGUGGAGUGUUAUCUUAAAGAGAUAGUAUUCAUUGGUUCAGUCGAUACGUUUUAUUUAUCUAUCACUGGGUUUCUGAAUACUGCUUUGGAAGAUAAUCCAUAAGCAAUCACGUC
rnacentral:precursor_RNA from 12 species